CCUCCCUGUGUUGCCAUUUCUGCUGCAUUCUUGGGUCUCUGGCCCAUUCCCUCUGGUGAAGCUUGUUCUUGGGGCCAAGCAAGCCUUCUCCCUCUCCUUCUCUCUCUCUCUUCCUUCUCUCCCUCAAUGUGACUGUUUCAUCUUCUCCGCUGCAACUUCUGGUCAGGGUCUUGGGGUUUAUCUGCUUUCGGUGAGCUAGAUGGGGGCGUCGAUGUGCUGUGGCCGGAUUCAAUCCAUCCAAUGACGAGGAGAUUAUCAUCAUCCUCUGACCCCGAGCUUGCAGGAAAUUUCAUGAAUCUUCCCUGGUGAUCAGGAAAAUCCAC
rnacentral:lncRNA from 1 species